rnacentral:rRNA from 1 species
GUCCACGCCGUAAACAAUGAUUACUCGUUUUCGGCGAUAUACAGUCGGAGACUAAGCGAAAGUGAUAAGUAAUCCACCUGGGGAGUACGAUCGCAAGGUUGAAACUCAAAGGAAUUGACGGGGGCCCGCACAAGCGGUGGAGCAUGUGGUUUAAUUCGAUGAUACGCGAGGAACCUUACCAGGGCUUAAAUGCAGAGCGCAUAUAUUGGAAACAGUAUAGUCUUCGGACGAUCUGCAAGGUGCUGCAUGGCUGUCGU